CCCCCGGUGGUGGGGAGGGGUAUAGCAGUACAUCACCGCGUGAGUCUGGGGUGGCGCCGCAGCGCCCCCUGGUGGUGGGAUGGGGAAAAGGUGCGGUGCCUUUAUGUCGGUAAUCGGGCACCCCGUGGUGAUAGGAAGGGGUGAAGGGGGUGCGAUGCCUUGAAGGUGGUGGUAGUUGGGCGCCCCCUGGUGGUAGGGAGGGGUAUAGCAGUGUCCGUCCGUCCCCCCCCCCAAGUAUAUGGUGAUGCUGGAGCGCCCCCUCGUGGUGGGGAGGGGUAGAGGGGGUGCGGCGCCUUUAAGUUUGAAAUUGUUCGGCGCCCCCUGCUGGUAGGGAGGGGUAUAGCAGUGCCUUCUCCCCUAUGUAAAUGCUGGCGGGUUGUGGUAAAAGGAGAUGCCCACCCCCCAUACGAGAUUAUAGUGGAGGAAAGGGGGGGGCGCCCCCACAGUGGUGGGUUUGGGGCAUUGGAUUGCCUCCCCCCCCCCCUCCCAUGUUGGUGGUGUUGGAGCGCCCCCUAGUGGUGGAUUUGGAGUAAAGGGAGCACCCCCUGGUGGUGGGAUGGGUUAUCGCAGCGCCUCCCCAUAUAAAAAUAGCGAUGUUGGGGCGCCCCCUGCUGGUGGGAUGGGGUAAAAGGGGAUCCCCCCCAAUUUGUAAAUUCAAGUGUCCCAAAAUGGGGCGGCCCCCUCCCCCCCCCCCAAAUUCGGCCCCCCUCCCUCCCCAGCUGAUGGGGUGAAAGGACCCCCCGCGUGGGGCACCCACCCCAUGGCCACAAUGAGGGGGUGUGAAGGGGAACCCCCACAAACAGUGACCCCCCACUACCGCCGCCCUCAGUUGAAGGGGUGUGUUUGGGGGGGCCGACAUGGGGGGAGGGGAGGGGGCAAUUGUGGGGGGAGCGCUCAGCAGUGGGGGGGGCACAGAGGUGCGCCGCCCCCCCUCCCCCCCCAGUAAAGCCACUUCCGGUGGGGGGGGGGGGGG
rnacentral:lncRNA from 1 species